UACGUAGGGGGCAAGCGUUGUCCGGAUUUAUUGGGCGUAAAGAGCGUGUAGGCGGUCAGGUAGGUCCGUUGUGAAAACUCGAGGCUCAACCUCGAGACGCCGAUGGAAACCAUCUGACUAGAGUCCGGAAGAGGAGAGUGGAAUUCUUGGUGUAGCGGUGAAAUGCGCAGAUAUCAGGAAGAACACCCGUGGCUAAGGCGGCUCUCUAGUACGGUACUGACGCUGAGACGCGAAAGCGUGGGGAGCGAACAGG
rnacentral:rRNA from 1 species